rnacentral:rRNA from 1 species
GUCUACGGCCAUACCACCCUGAAUGCUCCCGAUCUCGUCUGAUCUCGGAAGCUAAGCAGGGUUGGACCUGGUUAGUACUUGGAUGGGA